rnacentral:rRNA from 1 species
GUGGGGAAUAUUGGACAAUGGGGGGAACCCUGAUCCAGCCAUGCCGCGUGUGUGAAGAAGGCCUUUUGGUUGUAAAGCACUUUAAGCGAGGAGGAGGCUACCGAGAUUAAUACUCUUGGAUAGUGGACGUUACUCGCAGAAUAAGCACCGGCUAACUCUGUGCCAGCAGCCGCGGUAAUACAGAGGGUGCGAGCGUUAAUCGGAUUUACUGGGCGUAAAGCGCGCGUAGGUGGUUAAUUAAGUCAAAUGUGAAAUCCCCGAGCUUAACUUGGGAAUUGCAUUCGAUACUGGUUAGCUAGAGUAUGGGAGAGGAUGGUAGAAUUCCAGGUGUAGCGGUGAAAUGCGUAGAGAUCUGGAGGAAUACCGAUGGCGAAGGCAGCCAUCUGGCCUAAUACUGACACUGAGGUGCGAAAGCAUGGGGAGCAAACAGGAUUAGAAACCCGAGUAGUCC